AUACACAUGUUAAUAUUAUUAAUUUUGUUUAAGUCCCUCCAAUUAUUUCCUUAUAAAAUACCUAAAUGAGAAAACAUUAAAAAAAAUGACACAAAAAAAAUGUAAAUACAGACUUGUAACAAAAGUAGAUUUAAGAUGAUUUGAUGUAUCCAAAUGUAUGCAUCAAAAUAUAUUGUAAUAAAUUAAUGUAUCUAAAUAUCUGAGAAGCAUGUACUAAAAAUAUAUUAUAUUAAAUUAAUGUAUUAAAAUGUAUAUACAAAAAUAUAUGCAAUGGUACUAAUCUUCCUAAAUGUCUAUACCAAAAUAGAUAUAUUAGAAUAUAUUAAAUUAAUUAAUAUACAUAAAAAUAGAACACAAAGUAUACCCAAAAAUAUUACAUAAAAAUAAUUUACCUAAUUUUCUACCUGUAAAAUAUACUAUGGGAAUAAAAUGAAAAUUACUAUCAUAUGCAAUUUGACACACCGCGACCCGGAAUGUCCACUAGGACUCCAAAUCGAGCUGUGUUGGCCGACAUCUGGAAGGUGACGAAGCCAUGAAGUGUAGUGAUGUGGAAAAUGUGAAUAAAUUUAAACCUAAAAGUGCCUAAAUAUAAGAGUGCGCUGGUGAGCUGGAAUGAACUCAUUUCACAUGUGAUGACAGAGCAUAAGUAAAGUACAGUAUGUAGGAUAAGGAUUAUACCCUCAAAGAUAGCCACCUAUACUAUGAUUUGCCAAGAAUCCUCGUCGAUACAAAAGUUCAGCAGCUAAGACCUGGAGGGGCGAAAAAAACAAAGGUGAGUGGGCCUGAACAUAAAGUUUUAUAAAAACCUUUCUGAAAAUAUUGUAACCCCGCCCUGUAUCCAAAAUAUACUUACUACGCAUAGUAUAAAAACACUUACCGUAGCCUUUAAAAUCUCAAGAAUUCAUUACGGCACAAUAUCUUGUAACAAAGGGCAUGAUAUCCAAAAUCACAAAAUCUCAACAGUAAUAUAAGUAAAAUCAGGUGCUCAAACAAUCUAUGCUAGCAUAGAAGUCGGAGUCACCUAAUGUAACCUGUAUGAGUGAACUAAUGCUUAUCAAUCCAUGCUAGCACACGAGUUGGAGUUGCCUAAUGCAACCUGUACGUCAGGACUAGGUGUAAUCAUAAUAUACACUCUAGUGCUACAAUCACGUGAAGACUGAUGCUAUUCACAGUCAACUACAAGUCGGAGUUGCCUAAUGCAACCUGUACGACAAGACUGGCACCUGCUUAGAUCCAAGGUGAGCGUGCAGUGCGAAGGUGAACAUACACGUGAAAGACUGGCCCUGGCCGUGGGAGAGCACUAACACCAGGGUGCAUUAAUGAUGAGCAGACUACAUAAAUAUAAGCAUGCCAUAACGAUUCAAUAAUUUUAGUCAACAUAAUAAACUUACAUGCGCAUCCAGUAUGAUUUAGCAUAUUUCAUAAAUUUCGUCAUUUCGCUUAUUCUUAUAAACUUUAGUCUAAUCCAGGCCUAUGUAAGAAAUUCUUUUUCAAAUGCAUAAAUGGAAACUAUCAAUGAUAUAUAUAUAUAUAUAUAUAAAGGAAAAGACCCACUCACGUGAGGUUCGUGCUACAACUCCCUAACAUGAAUAUCGAGGCAUCACGAACGAUCGUCGUCUAGAACAAUUAUCAAAUCACUUCUUAGAAUUCUUAUCGAUGGAACACAUAACUUACAUAAAACACAUCCCCAAUGACGUUCUACAAUGAUUUGUAACCUAUUUACAAACUUAGAAAGCCCAUCCAGGAAGAUCCAUAUGUCAGAUUCUCAAUCUGUCAGUUUCUAAUAUCCUUAAAUAUUACGUACUAUAAUAUAAUAAGGUUUGGUGACGAUUCAGUGGUCUGAUCGUCGAAUAAUAAAAUGGUCAAGUGGCAUAGUAUUCCAUUUUAUGUUCAAACUAUUAAACUAUAACAAACGGUGAUCAAAUUGAAAUCAGAACAUCAAAUUUAACUUAAAAAGGCAGCGUCGCCCCACUAGCCACGCGCC
rnacentral:lncRNA from 1 species